rnacentral:rRNA from 1 species
ACAGUGUCUGGUGGGUAGUUUGACUGGGGCGGUCUCCUCCUAAAGAGUAACGGAGGAGCACGAAGGUUAGCUAAUCCUGGUCGGACAUCAGGAGGUUAGUGCAAAGGCAUAAGCUAGCUUGACUGCGAGCGUGACGGCGCGAGCAGGUGCGAAAGCAGGUCUUAGUGAUCCGGUGGUUCUGAAUGGAAGGGCCAUCGCUCAACGGAUAAAAGGUACUCCGGGGAUAACAGGCUGAUACCGCCCAAGAGUUCAUAUCGACGGCGGUGUUUGGCACCUCGAUGUCGGCUCAUCACAUCCUGGGGCUGAAGUAGGUCCCAAGGGUAUGGCUGUUCGCCAUUUAAAGUGGUACGCGAGCUGGGUUUAGAACGUCGUGAGACAGUUCGGUCCCUAUCUGCCGUGGGCGCUGGAGAAUUGAGGGGGGCUGCUCCUAGUACGAGAGGACCGGAGUGGACGCAUCACUGGUGUUCGGGUUGUCAUGCCAAUGGCACUGCCCGGUAGCUAAAUGCGGAAGAGAUAAGUGCUGAAAGCAUCUAAGCACGAAACUUGCCCCGAGAUGAGUUCUCCCUGACCCUUUAAGGGUCCUGAAGGAACGUUGAAGACGACGACGUUGAUAGGCCGGGUGUGUAAGCGCAGCGAUGCGUUGAGCUAACCGGUACUAAUGAACCGUGAGG